AUGGCUCUGAGUCAAGGCCAGGAGUAUUCUGAAGCUAUUGGUUUCAAACAGGAGCCUAAAGUGGUAUCUUUCUAUGGUUUGUUGGCCAUUUCAGAACUUUAGAAAUAUAAUGGCCAAUUCAUUAGAAAGAAAUAACU
ensembl:snoRNA small nucleolar RNA SNORA2/SNORA34 family